CCCAAUGCAAUAGCCCCUCCACCAACGAGGAACAGUUGUCUUGCUGGUUACAUUGAUAAUUUAGUGGGAAUUUUUGCCUGCAGGUCUAUGGAGAAGAAGAGUGGUCAUUUGGGUUGACCUAUGGUGGUACUGGAGUGUCCUGUUGCCCAGUCCGCCAAAAUCCUGAGUACACAUUCCGUGAGAGCAUUGUUCUGGGAGUAACAAGCUUCUCAAACUCGGAAGUAAACCAAAUCUUGAUCCAGUUAAGUCAUGAAUGGCCUGGAUCCUCGUAUGAUCCCCUGUCAAGAAACUGCAAUCACUUCACUAACGCAUUCUGUCAAAAGCUUGGCGCUCUAAAAAUUCCAGGUUGGGUCAAUCGUUUUGCAAAUGCUGGUUAUACAGUUAAGGCUGUUGCUGAGACUAGGGCACUGCAGUUCAGACAGGUUAAAUCAGAUAUUGCCAAAGCCAGCAGAGCAGCAUGCGAAUAUAUGACAGGCUUGGGUAAAAAUAAUAAGCUAAAGCGGAAUCCUCAGCUGUUAAUCAGAACAGAAGCAGCCCUAGGUGGCAGGGCAAUUGGUUCAAGAACAUUAUCUCAGCAAGUGCGAAUAUUCCAUCGACGAACUUUUCACGAGAGGCAGGGGAUGAUUCCCCGCUGCAUGGCCAAGAUGACAGAGAAGUGUCAGAACGGGUGUAGACUGUAGUGAAGCCACCACUAGCCGUCUUAGGAACCCAGUAACCGCUGAAUGUAAUAAUUGGGUGGUGACGCAUGUGGACGAUAUUGAUAUGUUUACAAACACGAAUGUUAUGCCUGAAUUUUUUUUUCUUGUCAUAUACAGAAAAUAAGGAGAGUUACAUCUUGAUUGACUAGUAUUCUCUGAAUGACUCUCACAGUGUGAUCAAAAGGUGGUCAUGCUGGAAAACUGUUACUAGCAUGGCAUGUUUCCUAGUAGGCCAUAUAUAGAUAGCUCCAUCAGAAAGGGUUCCUGACCAGGAUGUGGCUGCUGUGGAUGGCUUUCAGAAGCACCGAUGCGACGGAAUGCACAGCAGCUGACGCUAUCCUCGCCUUGAUCUGGCCACGCCUCGGCAUGUGCCUUGCGCUUCCUCCACCGCUUCUCCAUGGAACUGCAGAGGCGGCGGCGGCGGCGGCUUGGUUGGUCAUCUUCCUUGUGUCAGGGGAGGAGGAGAAGGGUAACCCAACUCUGCAGACUGCAGCUUUCGGUUUGUGUGUGUGUGUGUGUGUGUGCGCUUGUUCGUGGCGUAGAAGACGCUGGCUAGUAUAGUGCCACUUUUAUAGCGGUGACAUACACUGCAAAGUGGUGGUGGUGUUAGUUGCUCACAUAGUUUAGUUGGGGUGUUUGAUUAGGCAUCCUUUUCGUUUUUGAACUCUGACCAUGUUAUUCAUUGGAUC